rnacentral:pre_miRNA from 1 species
GAGUGUAGACUGUAGAGCUAUAAUUGUGUUGAAGAGUGAGCACAAUCAUAGCUCUACAGUCUACACUCU